CCGCGGUGCAGCCCUGCCCAGCCGGGCCGUGCGGCCCUUGCAGCCGCCGCUCGCCGUGACCUUGGCCUUGGGCCAAGCCCGGGGAGCGGGGUGGGCUCCUGGGGGUCGCGGAGCAGCAGCGGACCGCCCCGCCCAGCGGCCCUGGCGAUAGCGGGUGUCCGUUCGCAGGGCGCCUUUCCCAGGCACCCAGUGACGGCAGCUGUCGUCAUCGCCACUCUGCAGAUGGGAAACUGAGGCCCGGAGGUCCCGCCGCUCCGGAGCGAGGAGCCGCCGGACCCCAGCGCCGCACCGCCGGGCGGACGCGCUCUGUGCCGAGCUCCCGGCGAUUGGGUCCGCUCCCACGGGGCUGGGAACAGAGGGGCAGAGGAUGCUUCCCCCGAGCCGCUGGCAGGAGUGCCCUUCCCCCUUCAGUCUGGAGCUCAGAGUUUGUGCGUCCCUGGGGGUGAAGGGGCGUCCACGCUGUGAUGGUCGCCUCUGCUCAGUCCUGGGGGCCAAGCCAGGGUCGGGGUGAUCGAGCAGGCCCUUUUACCAGGUGUCCCCAGUAAGUUAACUAAGUAACUUGAGAUGUGACUUCAGGGUGGAGGACCUGCACCCAGUGGCCACCUACCUGGUGACCUGACCCUUCCCAUCAUUAGGGGAUGGAGGCUGGCCCAGAAGCCGGGCACUGGGGUGGCGGCCGUGUGGGAGCUGCCUCUCCCACUUCCUCGAAGCAGGCACUGUCUGCUGUUCUUAGAUCUGAGUAUCCGUUAACUUUUGUCCUCUUUUCCCGUUCCUUUCUUCACUCCCUGCCCCAGAUUAGGAGUUCCUACUCUAUCACAGUAUGAAAGAAAAGUCACUUUUCACAUUGGACUCAAGCCGUUUUUGCAAAGUAAACUAAGAAGUGUCUUGGAGCCCUGAGUGAGUCUCCCAGUGCUGCUGCAGGGCUGGACUAGGGGAUUCCAGCCUGCAGUCUCUGAGGGCUCUGUAGGGUCUGAGGAAGAGAGUUGCCCUCUGGAAACGUCUCUUCUCUGCUGUUCGGGAAAAACCUUAUUAAGAUUUCCUCCAAAACACUCAUGCGCAGCAGGCAUGGUUCGGUUUUCAGCCCUCCCACAGGGCCAGCAGCUGAGGUUUUUCUGGAAGACUCCCUAUGCCUUUCUCUGGGGGAGGGGUGAUGCCACGGGCUGGAAGGAGAUGCCAGAGCCUCUGCUGGGACAGGAGCUUCGCUUCAGCCCCCACAGGCGUCUGCUGUGCCGCCCAGGCGGUGGCUGCUUCCUAAGC
rnacentral:lncRNA from 1 species